CAUUGGUAUAGUUUUUGAUUCGUUCGACGAAACUCAUACAUCCAAAUACAUUUUCGGCAAUGUUAGUAAAUGCUGAGUUUAGCGGCGGACUCGAGCUUAUAAUGAAAAAUAAAGCCAAGCAGCUGCAAAUUCCAUUCGAUACACAGACUAUAUCUCUACGUGAACUGGUAAAAUACAUAUCGGAAAAUUUGGUGUCGGAAAGAUUAGACCUGUUUCUUCAAGACGAUGUUAUAAGACCCGGAAUACUAAUUUUGGUAAAUAACAUUGAUUGGGAAUUACUGGGUGGUAGCGAUGCAUCUAUAUCUAACUCUGACUGCGUUACAUUUAUCUCAACGUUGCAUGGGGGUUAGGAGAAUCCAUUAGAUGAAUGUGAUCAAUUCAACGUGCAAGAAUUCUAAGU